AUGGCGACCCCGACCGUGGUGCUGCUGCCGGUCUGGGCCGCCGGCCACCUCAUGUCCAUGCUCGACGCCGGCAAGCGGCUGCUGGCCCGCAGCGGCGGCGCGCUGUCGCUCACGGUGCUCGUCGUGCAGCCGCCGGGGGAGAGCCACAGGUCCGAGGUCGCCGCGCACAUACGGAGGGAGGAGGCGUCCGGCCUGGACAUCCGCUUCCACCACCUCCCCGCCGUCGAGCCCCCGGCGGACUGCCUGGGCAUCGAGGAGUUCGUCUCCCGGUUCGUGCAGCUCCACGCGGCCCACGUGAGGGCGGCCGUCUCCGGCCUGGCGCGCCCCGUGGCUGCGCUCGUCCUCGACUUCUUCUGCACCACCAUGCUCGACGUGUCCCGGGAGCUCGCCGUCCCGGCCUACGUGUACGUCACCGCCGACGCCGCCUUCUGCGCGCUCCUCCUGCGCCUGCCGGCGCUCCACGAGGAGGUGGCCGUCGAGUUCGGGGAGAUGGAGGGCAUGGUGGACGUGCCGGGCCUGCCGCCGGUGCCGCCGUCGUGCCUCCCGGUUCCGGUGAUGGACAAGAAGAACCCCAACUACACGUGGUUCGUGUACCACGGCAGGCGGUUCACGGAGGCCAAGGGCGUCAUCAUCAACACGGUCACCGAGCUGGAGCGGAGCGUCCUUGCAGCCAUCGGCGACGGCCGGUGCACGCCCGGAGUUCCCGCCCCGGCGGUCUACCCAGUAGGGCCCGUGCUCUCCGUGACCCCGCCAGCGGAGCGGCCGCACGAGUGCGUGCGGUGGCUGGACGCGCAGCCUCCGGCGUCCGUGGUGCUCCUCUGCUUCGGCAGCAUGGGGUUCUCCACGGCGGCUCAGGCGCACGAGAUAGCCCACGGGCUGGAGCGCAGCGGCCACCGCUUCCUGUGGGUGCUGCGCGGCCCGCCGGCAGCCGGCGCGCGAGAGCCCUCGGACGCGGACCUCGGGAAGCUGCUCCCGGAGGGGUUCCUGGGGAGGACGAAGGAGCAGGGCCUGGUGUGGCCGGCGAAGGCCCCGCAGAAGGAGAUCCUGGCGCACGCCGCCGUGGGGGGCUUCGUGACGCACGGCGGGUGGAACUCGAUCCUGGAGAGCCUGUGGUUCGGCGUGCCGAUGGCGCCGUGGCCGCUGUACGCGGAGCAGCACCUGAACGCGUUCACGCUGGUGGCCUGCAUGGGCGUGGCCGUGGCCAUGGAGGUGGACCGGGAGAGGAACAACUUCGUCGCCGCGGCGGAGCUGGAGCGGGCCGUGAAGGCGCUCAUGGAGCGCGACUCCGAGGAGGGGAGGAGGGCGAGGGAGAAGGCCGCGGAGAUGAAGGCCGCGUGCCGGAAGGCCGUCGAGGAGGGCGGGUCCUCCUACUCUGCGCUCGGGAGGCUCUCUGAGGAGAUAAUCAAAGGCGCCGAUAAGUGA
rnacentral:rRNA from 1 species